UACAGUUCUCUCCUCAUCUCGUUCGAUACCUCCACCAGCUCUCAUCUGGUUCGAUCCCCACCAGGCUCAUCCAAAUGCGUCAUUUCUCCUGAUUUGCUGCUGGCGAAGGAAGAUGUCGUUGGUACCAGCAGGAAACUAAUUCCUAGCCUAUUCUCUAGCAUGUGGAUCGAGUCUACCGGCGCGGCCACGGGGAGGGCAAGGGAGAACGUGGCGUGCUACUCAACCUCGUCAUGGCCGGCAGCGAGCUGUCAUAGCUGAGGUGCUGGAUGUGGGUGGAUGCGUUGAUGGAGCUUACGGAGAAGGCUGCACCAAUUUGUGAAUUUCCCAUGCGAACACAUGCAACGGAGAAUGGUUGGAUCUAAAGGCACUAUGGAUGGCACCGUGGCUAUGGUCCAUGAGAUCUAUGGGGUAAUGUAGGCAAGUCUUACACCGCGGACUGCUCAGCACGGUGGUUCUCUUAUUAGCCCAGGCUGUGGACAAGAGAUAGUCAGAAUGGCGACAUCAGGCUAAUCUAGCCGUAUGUGGAACACUAGAGAGCAUGCGAUCGGCGUUUAUCAUGUUUUGCUAUUAAUAAGUUUAUGAAGCAAGUCAGAAUGGCGACACGGGGCAAAUCUAGCCUUAUAUGGAACACUGGAGAGCCUGCUGAUCAACUUGUAUCAUGUUUUGCUAUUAAGCUUAUGAAGCAAGGUGUAUAUGUGCUGAAUGUCCAGCCUUUUGACGAACGCGCUGGUAAUGGUGAACUAAUAUAUGUUCAGGUAACUCAGAAGGAUGGUUGGGCAUGACUUUGUCGAGUGUCAAGCAAAAAAGUAAGAUUGCUAAAUAACAAUUACUAAAUCUGAUGAUUCAGGGGAAAAGUGCUUUGGCGCCACUUGUUCCGACGUCAAUUGGAGCAGUUGGUUGUGGCUUCGUCGGGCGUCGAGCAUGCUUCGACAUGACUUUGUCAGACAUCGAGCAAAGUUGCGCUGCCUGCUAUAGAAUCUUCUUUUAUUAAUGGUGUGCUUAGCCGGGCAACAGAUUUGGCUAGCUUCAAUAUUGGAUGUGUGCUGGUCAUGGCCAAGAUUUGGUUCGCUUCAAAUUUUUUUUGAGAAGCUCAAAGGUUGGGCAUGACUUCGUCCGGCGCCGGCACCAAGUUGCAUGCGAAACUUUAGUUUUUCCUGGCUUCGAUCUUUGUUGGGCAUACUAUCUACUGAGUUUGAAUUUUGUGGUUGUGUUUUGGUCGCAUAGUUCAGGCUGGCUUGUACUUUCUUGGGUGUGUGCUAGUUUGGCCGGCUAGAUGUGUUUAGUUUUCCAUGGUUGUGGGAUUCUGUGUGUUGCAUCCGAGAUCUUAUUUGCAUGCACGCAUCUGUGGAAAGACACAUAUAUUUCCUUGGCUUGUGAUUGUCUUAAACACGUGUCCAGUCUAUUUGGACAUGACACAAAGCACAACAUGUAUUUCUUAUUGCAA